rnacentral:rRNA from 1 species
CAAUAGCGUAUAUUAAAGUUGUUGCAGUUAAAAAGCUCGUAGUUGGAUUUCUGUUUUGAAUGUCCGGUCGGUCGUUUAACGAUGUGUACUAGGAUAUUUGGAGCAUUUUUUGUGAGGGUCUUUGACUGGCAUUAAUUUGUUGGUUUUAGAAGCUUGCAUCGUUUACUGUGAAAAAAUUAGAGUGUUUCAAGCAGGCGUUUGCUUUUGAAUACAUUAGCAUGGAAUAAUAAGAUAUGACUAGCGUGGUCUACUUUGUUGGUUUGCACACGCAAGUAAUGAUUAAUAGGGACAGUUGGGGGUAUUCAUAUUUGAGCGUCAGAGGUGAAAUUCUUGGAUCGCUGAAAGAUGAGCUUAGGCGAAAGCAUUUAUCAUGGAUGUUUUCAUUAA